AGCGCAACACCUAGUACCCCUAGGCCCUGCAAGCAUGGCAGCAAGCCUACGCACAUGUAGGCUAGCCUGCAGUGCAUUAGUCGGGCACUGCCACUUUAGGCAGUGCACCAUUGUUGCCUUAGGCGACACACCACCCCCGUCGAUGGAGGAAAUUUUUUUUUCCCUUUUUCGUGCCAAAAAUCUUUUUUCCUCUCUCUUCACUAGAAUUCAUCACUUGGCACAAAUCCAAUAGUUUUAAAAUUCUAUAAAUUGCCCUUCCAAUACCCUCCCUCUCCAUACUUGCAUUUAUCCCAUCU
rnacentral:lncRNA from 1 species